rnacentral:lncRNA from 1 species
AUCCCUGGAAAGAAAAAGUAAACAAAGAUGGGAAGACAAUGAUUAUGUUAUAUUUUACAAACCAGAGUGAAUAACAUAUAGGUAGACUUGAUGAUGUUUAUAACGUGAAAGCCAAACAAGAUAGUACUCACUCGUACAUACUUAUAUUUGCUAUUUUGAGACGGUUAAUGAUCGUAAAUAAUUAAAACGUUCAACUGUUGUGUUAUGACAGAGAGAAACAAAUACAU